CCUACGGGUGGCAGCAGUGAGGAAUAUUGGUCAAUGGCCGGAAGGCUGAACCAGCCAUGCCGCGUGAAGGGCAGGGACCUAGGGGCGUUAAACUUCUUUUGUGCGGGAGCAAGAAUGGUCACGUGUGGCCAGACGAGAGUACCGUACGAAGAAGCAGCGGCUAACUCCGGGCCAGCAGCCGCGGGAAUACGGGGGAUGCAAGCGUUAUCCGGAUUUCUUGGGGUUAAAGGGGGCGUAGGCUGGGAGGUAAGGCAGCGGGGAAAUGCCCCCGCUCAACGGGGGGAAGUGCCAUUGUUACUGCCUUGCUGGACUGCGGCUGCCGUGGGCGGACUGUGUGUUGUAGCGG
rnacentral:rRNA from 1 species